CCUACGGGAGGCUGCAGUGGGGAAUAUUGCACAAUGGGCGAAACCCUGAUGCAGCGACGCCGCGUGAAUGAAGAAGUAAUUCGUUAUGUAAAGCUCUAUUAGCAGGGAAGAAAAUGACGGUACUUGCGUAAGAAGCACCCGCUAACUACGUGCCAGCAGCCGCCGUAAUACGGAGGGGGCAAGCGUUAUCCGGAUUUACUGGGUGUAAAGGGAGCGUAGACGGCAGUGCAAGUCUGGAGUGAAAGGCGGGGGCUCAACCCCCGGACUGCUCUGGAAACUCUACGGCUGGAGUGCAGGAGAGGUAAGCGGAAGUCCGGGUGUAGCGGUGAAAUGCGUAGAUAUUAGGAGGAACACCAGUGGCGAAGGCGGCUUACUGGACUGUAACUGACGUUGAGGCGCGAAAGCGUGGGGAGCAAACAGGAUUAGAUACCCUUGUAGUC
rnacentral:rRNA from 1 species